rnacentral:rRNA from 1 species
UAGGGAAUCUUCCGCAAUGGACGCAAGUCUGACGGAGCAACGCCGCGUGAGUGAAGAAGGAUUUCGGUUCGUAAAACUCUGUUGUUAGAGAAGAACAGCGCAUAGAGUAACUGUUAUGCGUGUGACGGUAUCUAACCAGAAAGCCACGGCUAACUACGUGCCAGCAGCCGCGGUAAUACGUAGGUGGCAAGCGUUGUCCGGAUUUAUUGGGCGUAAAGCGAGCGCAGGCGGUCAAUUAAGUCUGAUGUGAAAGCCCCCGGCUCAACCGGGGAGGGUCAUUGGAAACUGGUUGACUUGAGUGCAGAAGAGGAGAGUGGAAUUCCAUGUGUAGCGGUGAAAUGCGUAGAUAUAUGGAGGAACACCAGUGGCUAAGGCGACUCUCUGGUCUGUAACUGACGCUGAUGCUCGAAAGCGUGGGUAGCAAACAGG